AACGAACGCUGGCGGCAUGCCUAACACAUGCAAGUCGAACGAGACCUUCGGGUCUAGUGGCGCACGGGUGCGUAACGCGUGGGAACCUGCCCUUAGGUUCGGAAUAACUCCCCGAAAGGGGUGCUAAUACCGGAUAAUGUCUUCGGACCAAAGAUUUAUCGCCUUUGGAUGGGCCCGCGUUGGAUUAGCUAGUUGGUAGGGUAAAAGCCUACCAAGGCGACGAUCCAUAGCUGGUCUGAGAGGAUGAUCAGCCACACUGGGACUGAGACGCGGCCCAGACUCCUACGGGAGGCAGCAGUGGGGAAUAUUGGACAAUGGGCGAAAGCAUGAUCCAGCAAUGCCGCGUGAGUGAUGAAGGCCUUAGGGUUGUAAAGCUCUUUUACCCGGGAUGAUAAUGACAGUACCGGGAGAAUAAGCUCCGGCUAACUCCGUG
rnacentral:rRNA from 1 species